rnacentral:rRNA from 1 species
GGUUCAGGAUGAACGCUAGCGACAGGCCUAACACAUGCAAGUCAGGGGCAGCACAAGGAGCAAUCUGAGGUGGCGACCGGCGCACGGGUGAGUAACACGUAUGCAACCUGCCUGUAAGCGGGGAAUAACCCGUUGAAAGACGGACUAAUACCGCAUAAUACUAAAUUACUGCAUGGUAAUUUAUUUAAACAUUUAUGGCUUACAGAUGGGCAUGCGCAUGAUUAGCUAGUUGGAGAGGUAACGGCUCCCCAAGGCAACGAUCAUUAGGGGUUCUGAGAGGAAGGUCCCCCCACACUGGUACUGAGACACGGACCAGACUCCUACGGGAGGCAGCAGUGAGGAAUAUUGGUCAAUGGACGAGAGUCUGAACCAGCCAAGUCGCGUGCAGGAAGAAUGUUCCCUAUGGAUUGUAAACUGCUUUUGCAGGGGAAUAAAGUGCAUCACGUGUGAUGUUUUGUAUGUACUCUGCGAAUAAGGAUCGGCUAACUCCGUGCCAGCCGCCGC